CCUACGGGAGGCAGCAGUGGGGAAUAUUGGACAAUGGGGGCAACCCCGAUCCAGCCAUGCCGCGUGUGUGAAGAAGGCCCUCGGGUUGUAAAGCACUUUCAGUGAGGAAGAACGCCUGGUGGUUAAUACCCAUCAGGAAAGACAUCACUCACAGAAGAAGCACCGGCUAACUCCGUGCCAGCAGCCGCGGUAAUACGGAGGGUGCGAGCGUUAAUCGGAAUUACUGGGCGUAAAGCGCGCGUAGGUGGCUUGAUAAGCCGGUUGUGAAAGCCCCGGGCUCAACCUGGGAACGGCAUCCGGAACUGUCAAGCUAGAGUGCAGGAGAGGAAGGUAGAAUUCCCGGUGUAGCGGUGAAAUGCGUAGAGAUCGGGAGGAAUACCAGUGGCGAAGGCGGCCUUCUGGACUGACACUGACACUGAGGUGCGAAAGCGUGGGUAGCAAACAGGAUUAGAUACCCGGGUAGUC
rnacentral:rRNA from 1 species